rnacentral:rRNA from 1 species
UACAGAGGUCUCAAGCGUUUGUUCGGAUUUAUUGGGCGUAAAGGGCGCGUAGGCGGCGGGGUAAGUCGGGUGUGAAAUCUCAGGGCUCAACCCUGAAACUGCACUUGAUACUGCUCUGCUUGAGGACUGGAGAGGAGACUGGAAUUCACGGUGUAGCAGUGAAAUGCGUAGAUAUCGUGAGGAAGACCAGUGGCGAAGGCGGGUCUCUGGACAGUUCCUGACGCUGAGGGCGCGA